CCCAGUAUCUAUGUCAUUCAGUUGGGAGUAACACUUAGCACCGAGUGAACAUAGGGAUGGUGUCUCCCCCGUCAGUUAGGCAUGAGGCACUAGUAGCAGUCCCUAUGUUCCAAACCUAUGGUGCCACCAUAGAUUUUGAGAGGUCCCUCGUAAGUUAGGAUAGCAGCCUCAUCCUUUAAGGAAUCAGCUCAGCCUUGUGGAAUCCUCAUCGUCAGCCAGUUUUUGUACCUUAGCAAGGUACUGGCACCUUUCAAACUAGGGUUAUAGGUUGGACCCUGAUUACUAAAUUGAGGUAUGUCGGUUAUAGCUAUCUCCCACAGUCUCAGCAGAGUAUUCAAUAUAGUUUCAGAUUAGGUUUGCUUGACCAAAGAAUAUAGACUCUCAGCUAUUC
rnacentral:lncRNA from 1 species